rnacentral:rRNA from 1 species
AGCAGCCGCGGUAAUUCCAGCUCCAAUAGCGUAUAUUAAAGUUGUUGCAGUUAAAAAAGCUCGUAGUUGAAUUUCGGAAUCUGUCCGUCGGUCGGGCUUCACUGUCCGUACUGGCGUGAUGGGUUUCUACCUUCUGAAUAACCGGCAUGUCAUUAAUUUGGUGCGUCGGGGAAGCAGAACUAUUACCUUGAAAAAAUUGAAGUGCUUAAAGCAGGCUAUCGCCUGAAUAGAUUAGCAUGGAAUAAUAAAAUAGGACGGCAUGGUUCUAUUUUGUUGGUUUCUAGGAUCACCGUAAUGAUUAAUAGGGAUAGUUGGGGGCAUUAGUAUUCAAUUGUCAGAGGUGAAAUUCUUGGAUUUAUUGAAGACUAACUUCUGCGAAAGCAUUUGCCAAGGAUGUUUUCAUUAAUCAAGAAC